GAUGAACGCUGGCGGCGUGCCUAAUACAUGCAAGUCGAGCGAACAGACGAGGAGCUUGCUCCUCUGACGUUAGCGGCGGACGGGUGAGUAACACGUGGAUAACCUACCUAUAAGACUGGGAUAACUUCGGGAAACCGGAGCUAAUACCGGAUAAUAUAUUGAACCGCAUGGUUCAAUAGUGAAAGACGGUUUUGCUGUCACUUAUAGAUGGAUCCGCGCCGCAUUAGCUAGUUGGUAAGGUAACGGCUUACCAAGGCGACGAUGCGUAGCCGACCCGAGAGGGUGAUCGGCCACACUGGAACUGAGACACGGUCCAGACUCCUACGGGAGGCAGCAGUAGGGAAUCUUACGCAAUGGGCGAAAGCCUGACGGAGCAACGCCGCGUGAGUGAUGAAGGUCUUCGGAUCGUAAAACUCUGUUAUUAGGGAAGAACAAAUGUGUAAGUAACUAUGCACGUCUUGACGGUACCUAAUCAGAAAGCCACGGCUAACUACGUG
rnacentral:rRNA from 1 species